UAGCAUAUCAAUAAGCGGAGGAAAAGAAACUAACAAGGAUUCCCCUAGUAACUGCGAGUGAAGCGGGAAGAGCUCAAAUUUAAAAUCUGACAGCCUUUGGCUGUUCGAGUUGUAAUCUAGAGAAGUGUUAUCCGCGCUGGACCGUGUACAAGUCUCCUGGAAUGGAACAUCAUAGAGGGUGAGAAUCCCGUCUUUGACACGGACUUCCAGGGCUUUUGUGAUACGCUCUCAAAGAGUCGAGUUGUUUGGGAAUGCAGCUCUAAAUGGGUGGUAAAUUCCAUCUAAAGCUAAAUAUUGGCGAGAGACCGAUAGCGAACAAGUACCGUGAGGGAAAGAUGAAAAGAACUUUGGAAAGAGAGUUAAACAGUACGUGAAAUUGUUGAAAGGGAAACGCUUGAAGUCAGUCGCAUUGACUAGGGAUCAACCUUGCUUUUUUGCUUGGUGUACUUCCUAGUUGAUGGGCCAGCAUCAAUUUUGACCAGUGGAUAAAGGUCAAAGGAAUGUGGCAUCUCUGGAUGUGUUAUAGCCUUUGAUUGUAUACAUUGGUUGGGAUUGAGGAACUCAGCACGCCGCAAGGCCGGGUUUCGACCACGAUCGUGCUUAGGAUGCUGGCAUAAUGGCUUUAAUCGACCCGUCUUGAAACACGGACCAAGGAGUCUAACAUGCCUGCGAGUAUUUGGGUGGCAAACCCAUGUGCGUAAUGAAAGUGAAGAUCAGGAUCUCUGUCAUGGAGAGCACUGAUGCCCGGACCAGACCUUUUGUGACGGAUCUGCGGUAGAGCAUGCAUGUUGGGACCCGAAAGAUGGUGAACUAUGCCUGAAUAGGGUGAAGCCAGAGGAAACUCUGGUGGAGGCUCGUAGCGAUUCUGACGUGCAAAUCGAUCGUCAAAUUUGGGUAUAGGGGCGAAAGACUAAUCGAACCAUCUAGUAGCUGGUUCCUGCCGAGCUCUUUCUCACCAAGGAAAA
rnacentral:rRNA from 1 species